CAGUCCACUCACUCUCCUCAACAAUCUUUUAGCGAAAAAAGUAUAUAAGUCCAUCUACGCAUUUCAUCGAACAUUUUCCGUACCAACGGUGAUGGAAUCUACGCCUGCAAUUCAUAUACGCUGUAAUUCUCCAAGAAUCCUCCUGUCCUUUAUCCUAGGUCCCUGUUUAGUUCUGAGGGAUUUUGCUUGAAAGUUCUAAUUUAAAAUCUGGGAAAGUGUUUUCGUGGAAUGCAGCUUGAAAUUGCGUUUAACUAGAGGUCCGGCCACUGGGUCGGGAGGAUUUUCUGCCAAGCCCCUUGUUAGAAAGCCAUGAAUGAAGAGGCAAGUUGAAUUUCGAAACUUUCAUGCAAUUAUGGUUAGCUUAAUGAAUGAGUCCAGUUUUAAUGUUAAUUACGUGGCCAUUGCUUUGUUUUCCGUUUUCCCUUGAUAAAUGAUCAGAGCCAGUAUAUUAAGAUGUGCAACUAUUGAAGAAAUUGAGGCUAAGAAGUCUUUGAUUGAGAAAGAUGCUAAAGGAAGGAUGGAAAAGACUAUUGAAACUUUGAGGUCCGAUGUCAUGUCCAUAAGAACUGGGAGAGCAAAUCCAGCAAUGCUGGAUAAAGUUGAGUCAUCAUUUAAUGUUUGUAGAACGUUAACGUUCAAACUCAGCUUUAAUUUUGUGCUGUAGUCUCUCUGAAUGCUGUAAACUCCACAACUCAAAACCGGCAAAAUAGAUUGCUAUGCUCAUAGAUUGAUCACAAUUGGUGUUAGGUCUAAAAGUGUAAUUGGCAAUUCUGUGGACAAAACGAGCUAAAUUGUAUAAUUGUAAAAGUCAGGGAUUUAAUUGAACAUUGGUGUAAAAGUCAGAGACUUAGGGUGCAAUUUGAAUAGAUGAGGUAAAUUAGUGUUCGAGUCGUUGAAGGAGUCCAAGAUGUCCAAGAAGAUCACACAAGAUCAUCGGAAUGCAAUUGGAAGUCUAAAGGAUAUUAAAGAACCGCAAAAAUUAUGUUCCUAAUUUUUAGUCAUA